AAAAAAGCAGCUGAGUCGUUUGAGAAUGAGUCGGUUCUCUGGGUCGGCUCUUCGAAUCGCCUUCUUGAGAUAUGGAUGGUACUAGGAUGAGCCCCAUGUCCGAGUGGCUAAAAUCUGAUGUUUUCAUCAUAUUUGUGGUGGUCCUGCUGCUCACAGUUAUUUCCAUCUUUGCUGUCUGCUGGGUCAUAAGGCGCCGUCGUACGCACAAAACAACAGAAAAAAUGGCAGAAAUUGAGAUCAUUCCUUUUGCGGGUUCAGGUGGAAACAAUAAACCCAGAUUCACCCUGAGGAUCAUCACAGAGCAGAAACAUGCCUCAGAGCUCAUUCAGAUGUUAACAGGCCAAAUUCGCUCCACUGUAGGUCCUGUGUGCUCCACUGACCUUGGUGUCUCUGCUGUAACUGAUGAGGUUGCCUCUACUUCUCAAGAUCAGCCUUAGAUAUACGCUUUGUCUUCCUGUCAGACCGAAAUAGACAGCGCACUCCCCACUGGACAGUAGGUCACGUCACUGGACUUGCAAACUAUAAAUCCCACUGAACACCUGGCUACAGCUGACCCAAUCGGGAUUACUGAUAAUGAAGAAGAAAAUGGUGCUAGUGAUAAUGAAACCCAGCAGUACUACCCUGUCUUAUCAUAAAAGACUGCAUACAAGCAACGUUUACUGAGUUAAUGAUGAACAUAAAUGUCUUUCUAUGCUUUAUAUAUGCUGUGUAGGUCAUGCUGUUUUGUUUUAUGUUGUUUUUCAACGAGUCAAAUGUAUUUCUGUUUAGUAGCCCCUUCUUAAAUUGUAGUC